rnacentral:rRNA from 1 species
AUUGAACGCUGGCGGCAUGCCUAACACAUGCAAGUCGAACGGUAACAGGCCCGCAAGGGUGCUGACGAGUGGCGGACGGGUGAGGAAUACAUAGGAAUCUGCCCUAUUGUGGGGGAUAACGUAGGGAAACUUACGCUAAUACCGCAUAAGACCGUAAGGUGAAAGUGGGGGACCGCAAGGCCUCACGCGAUAGGAUGAGCCUAUGUCGGAUUAGCUAGUUGGUAGGGUAAAGGCCACCAAGGCGACGAUCCGUAGCUGGUCUGAGAGGAUGAUCAGCCACACUGGGACUGAGACACGGCCCAGACUCCUACGGGAGGCAGCAGUGGGGAAUAUUGGACAAUGGGCGCAAGCCUGAUCCAGCAAUGCCGCGUGUGUGAAGAAGGCCU